rnacentral:tRNA from 1 species
GUGAAUAUAGUUUAAAAAAACCCUAGAUUGUGAUUCUAGAAAUCGAGGUUAAAAUCCUCUUAUUCACC